GCAGAGAGCUGCUGCGGGCCCGCAUCUACAUUUUCUGUUGUGAUGGUUCUUUGGCAGCACUGGAAACUAGGAUUCCUUCUCAUUUUUCCUUUUACAUUUUCUAAGAUAUCAACAUAACCUAGUCACAGGAUCUUCAAAACUUGGUUCAACUCUUUACUCUCUGACAGCUACUUCUACUUCCCAAGCCGCCUUCAUUUUCUGCCUGUGAAACCAUGGCAAGAUCCUAUUUCCUACUACCACAUGCAGACCUGUUAUACCAUUGUCCAUCUAAUACCCAGACUAUUUCAGUAUAACUCCCAGAUCACAUCAUUCUCAUACUUAAAAUUCUCCAUUGGCUCUGCAUUUCUCUUGGCCUCCUUGCCAAGUUCUUGGUGAUUAUCUUGAGUUAGACCUAUCUUCCUCUGGUUUCAUUGUCUAUGGUUCUCUUUGCCUAGGUUUCUAUGCCUACCUUCCAUAAGGGAUGCUAACUGCACUCUUCCUGCAGACCUGUGCUGCUACUUUUGAAAGUGCUUUGCCCAUGGUACCUAUAGUGACUGGCUCCUUUUUCGAUCAUUCACAUCACAGCUCAGAUUUAGCUGGCACGUCAACUUAAUGAAAGUUGGUAGGCAUCCUAUAACUAGGACCCCUCUCUCACCUUCUGCUAAGUAUUUUAAAUUGGAGAUAUUUAUUUUAAUAGGGAAAACUGAAGGAGUCAUGUGAGAAAGUGUCCUUUGGCUAAUAUCUAGUCUUUGCUGAUGAAUUAUUUUCACAGCUUCUUUUAGGAUAGCAGUUGCAAAGGAAACAUAAUUUGUUCUCUGAGAAUUACAGCUUAUAUUUGACCACAAGCACUCAUCUAUUGCUGGCUUUUACUUAAGCUAUUUAAAAGGGGUCAAGCUGUGUACAGCAUAGAUGGAGAAACAAAAGACGAAUGAACUGUGGGCAGCUGCCUGAAGCUUCACAUUGACAUGUUUCCAGCAGAGAGCGCAGGCGACGCGUGCGCUCUGGGACGGGAAGCCAUCAGACUGUGGUACAUAAUUAGACAUGCAUUCUCAAGUUUGCCCCUCUGGUUCAAUAUUUUCAACUUGAACAUGUGUCUGGGGUGAUAGCACACCGUAGGGAGCAUUACAUGAAAAGAUGCUUCUGAGGAGAAGAGCAUGCAAGCUUAUUGAAGAAAAGGAUUCUAGUGGAAACCUCUUUCCCACCAUUUUCCACAGGGUACCAUCUGUUUAUUUCAGGGACCCUCCCCCCCCGAGCAACAUUGAUAGUUCCUUCCUGAACAUGUUGCUGCUGUAGGACAGAGGGACCAUUUAUACAGUUUUGUAGUUCUCUAAUUCUAUGUACUAGAAAAGUAACAUUUAAAACCAAAGCCAAAUACUUAGCAAGACAAGCAGCCAUGAGAGGUCCUGUCCCCACACUCAGUCCCUCCUUUUGGCUCUUAAACUGCAUGUUCAUAGCUCCUCUUUGUACCUGAGCUUCAUUCAAACACCCUAUGGAAGUCACUCUACCACCCAUUUCUACCUUCAAGAUCUAGAGUCCUGCCUUUCUCAUACAUCUCUGCUGUCUAGCAUUUUUAUCUGAUGCUUUUUUUUUUUUUUUUUGUAUUUUCAGUUUCAUUCCCUGGGUUGAUGUGUAAGGAUAUUUAUCGCUAGGAGGGCAUUCCCACUGAAGACUGUGGUACAGGAAUAGGCUCUGCCUAUUUUGGGUGUGCCCUCAAAUGCAGGAGUGGAUCUUGCGGGGGCAUCACUGAUCUCACUGCUGGUCACCACCGGGAAAUGCUUACUUCAUGGAGGCUAUUGUCACAGGGAUGCUAUUUUUUUCUGUUAAACAUACUUUCUGUAGUUUAAAUCUUGGAAGAGUUAACUUUGGAAGAUGGAGCAAUGGCUCAGUGAUUAACAGCAAUUGUUACACUUUCAGAGGACCCAAGUUCAGUUCUUAGCACCGACUAAUCAGGCCUGUAACUUCAACUUUAGGAGUUGACCUGAUAUACUCUUCUGGCCUCCCCUGACACAGGCAGGCAGACACACACACACACACACACACACACACACACACACACACACACACACACAUUAUAAAAUUAAAAACCUUUUAAAAAGAACUUUUUCCUGAGGACAAUAAAACUAGUAACACCAAGAAAUUAGCUUAGAAAUCUGUGUACCUGUUUAUUGUCACAUGAUACCGGAAUCUCUCCUUUUUGACACUUAAAUAAUUGUAUUUCUAUAACUUUUCAUAGUUUUUUUGGGGAUCAUAAAUGGAAAGUCUAAUUAAAGUUGAAGCUAAUACUCAGUUUAUGGGUUUGAUUUAAUAAGUAUGAAAUUAGCUUUAAUAUUCAGAUGGUCUUUUGAGAAAAACACAUUUGUUCAUUAAAUGUGGCGUCCCUAGUUCCCUUCCCUCUGUGGUUGUAUAAGAUCCAAAUGACAGGGUUGAUCCGAGAAGUUAUUAUGUUGUUUUAAAAGUCAUCAAAUGUUUUCACAACUGUAAUCUUAUUUAAAUACAGUCUCUGUUCUCAGAAAACUUACAUUGAAAAAAUAAAACUAUUAAUGCACCUUUCUUGGAGAACUAUUAAAUAGAGAUGUGGAUACAUUUAAAUGGAAUAAGAGAGAAAGGUCAGCAUAAAUGGAAUAAAUCUCAAUGACAUUCAGCCUGUCCACACUUCUGGUUGGCUUUGUAAUAAGUAUAUGAGCCUCCAUAUUAUUGGUAUUUUAUGUCACCUGUUUUCCCUUUGUAAGAAUGGCCAUGGCUAUUCAUGGGCUGUCUGAAUAUGGAACAUGUUGUGCCUACUCACCUUCGACUGCAUGAGUCAUUUAGACAACCAGAGAUAUACACUCACGGAAUGAGAUCACUCCCCCAGACACCAAAUAAUAAUGUCUGCCCUUAGGGACAAGCAGAGGAGCGGCUGCACCUGGACUCCUUGUGUUACACCCUGUGUCUCUUUACCUUUGCAGGCUUGCUUGGUUCUCCUCCAAAGAACCACCUAUAGUGCUUAUAAUCUCUUACAUUUUCUCUAUCAGUUUCUGGACUCCGAGGACGUGUUGCCUCGAGUAGGCACCAUACAUUUCUUAGGGAAGAUUUUGCAGCUGAAAACUAAGAGUUCAUUUAUGAGAUCGGUUUUUAAUAGUUUUCUUUCUCUUGCUCAGCCCUAGCCUGGACUUGUUUAUUAUACUGUGGUCACACAACUCAUAAUGGCUCCAGGGUUAGAAGGACUACAGAGCUCACUUAUGUGAUUCUGAGCAGGAAUUCUGUGUUACAGAACAAGACAUGCUAUGUGUUCAUUAAAAAUCUGAAGAAGCCAGCAUCUUAAGUGAAGAUUUAUUAUAUGUUUUCAAGAUCCUCAUUCCGUGAUCCUAAGGCUGGACACAGGGAGUAGAAUGCUAUGCCUGUGAACUUUGCUUAGCUUAUACCAUGUAGCGUGUUACUCGGAUUUUGGCCACUGUGACACACACUGGAGAUAAUCAGCUUAGAAGGAGAAAGGUUAGUUUUAACUCAGAUGUGGGGUGGGAGGGGUUGUUCCAGUGAGUUGGGUUCAUUGCUCAUUGCUCAAAAGCAAUGAGGCAGGAAACCAUGGCAAGAGCACGUGAUGGUGGGAGCUGCUUGUCUCCUGGUUGCUAGGAGGUGAAAAAAGGCAGAGAAGUUUGGGCAGCAUUGCCUUCAAAGGCACAUUCCCCAUCACUCAACUUCCUCAACCAGGUCCUGCCCCUUACAGAUCUCACUGCUAUCCCACAGAGUUGUUGACUGAGAUCCAAGUAUUCACAUAUGGCUCUAUGGGAGACAUUUCAUUUCAAAAUUAAGUCACAAGUGUUUCUCUUUGUUCUCUCAACAGGAUAUGAUGCCAUAUCAGUUAUUACUGAGUGGGUUCCAUUUCAACAAUAAACAACUCUCAAUCUCUUGUGAGGGACCAAUAUUGGUACCUUAAUAUUCAUGGAAACUAUAGAUUGUAUUAGGUUUAGUCUUUUGUGCUACACAUUCGAUGGGUUUGGCUGGAUAAACGAUGCCAGGUACCCAUCAUGACAACCUUAUGCCGAGUAGUCCCAUGGACCCCAAAGUCCCCUGUGUACUAUUUACUCUUCACUUUCUAUAUUUCACAUGGAAAUUACCAGUUUUUAAUGUCUUCCCAUUUCUAGACGGCAACCCAUCACACAGUAAUUGCUCUUUUCACGUGACAGCAUACAUCCAAGUUCCCCACCUGUGUGUUCAUUCACUUGGUUCUGCAGGGACUCCUGCAGUUGUCUGCAUAUCUCACUUUUUUCAUAAUUCACCCAUCGAAGACUAUUAAGGUUGCUUCCAAUUUUUAAUAACAGAAGUCCCAACUUGUGUGAGUGUAUAUUUUCAACUGUAGGUCAUAUAGUGUAUCAGUUACUUUUUUUGUUGUUGAUGAGAAAAAGCACCCAGACCAAGAGCAGCUUAAGGAAGAAAGGACAUACUUUGGCUUCAGAGGGUCAGAGUUCACAGUGGCAGGGAAGUCAUGGUAGUAAGAAACUGAAGCAUAGAGCUGGGAGAGCACCUUUACCCACAAAUGCAAGAGAGGGAAACUUGGAAGCAGGUCAAGCUAUAAACUCAAAAGUCUCACCCCUACCCUGUGAUCUGCCUCCAUCAACAAGACCACACCUCCUAAUAUCCAAAUACCUGAGCCUAUUAGGGAUACUAUCGUUCAAACCACCACAAAUGGUGAGAGGGAAAUCUCUGAGAACAAAAUAUGAUGUUAAUUUUUUAAACCUAAGCAACAUGGUCAUUCUGUGUUGAUUUGGGGAUAUUGUUCUAUGUUAUUCCAACAGGAAGACUCCAGUUCAUAAAUACCUUUUAGAUUAUUGCAGGGUUAUAAGAUCAGCAAAAGAGAAGGAUGGAGGAAGAAGUCUAUGUGUUUUGCAUCAGCAAUUCAGGACUGUCAUCUGGAAAUGACCCCACUCAUGCUCACUGGUAGCAUGCCCUGUCUCCACAACAGGGAGCCAAGAAGUUCAGCUUUUUAAUUAUCCAGAAGAAAUGGACAAAUGGAUACCAGCCAUUAGCUCUAGAAGUAUCUUCUAGCCAUUUGAAUAUGACUGAUACAGAUCCAGAGUUUGUACCUCGAUGGAAUCCAGCCUCGUCCAGAUACCUCCUAGCCACAGUGAGAGGAUUGUUUGGAUAACGCAAGCUCUGUAUGUGGUGCUGCACAGUGAGCGCCAUCAUGUUCUUGUCACUGACAUUUUGAACUGACCAGAAGUCCAUCCCUCUCCUCAUUCUAUCUGCUUCAUUCUCUGUACCAUUUCCCCCUCUCUGUGUAAUAAAUAAUUUUAUACACUU
rnacentral:sRNA from 1 species